CACAAGCUCUAGAGGGCUUCCGGGAGGAGGCUUAGGGAGCUGGGAAUCCGGGAGCAGAUGGUGGGUUCCUACCGUCGAGGGUGGGAGAGAGGGAUCUGAGGCCAAGUUUGAGGUAAGGACUGUGGAGCUCCAUCAGAUCCCCAUCCCCACCUCCCCUCAUCUGCGCAAUCCUGCGAGAAGCCUUAGACAGGUUCUGGCUCAGAGAACCGGAGAGAGGCACAACGCCUGGCCCCCAGGACUUGGCCACAGCGUCCCUGACCUUGUCUGCUCCAUGACCUCUCACUGAGGCCCAUUAACCCCUCAGUUCCCUGAUGAGGCUUGAUUUAGCAUCCUUGAUGUCAGCUCCUAAGAGUCUGGGAAGUGCAUUUAAGUCCUGGAGGUUGGACAAGGCCCCCUCCCCACAGCACACCUUUCCAUCCACUUCUAUCCCAGGCAUGGCUUUUGCUCUCCUGGCCUCCGUGCCCCCGGUGUUUGGACUCUACACUUCUUUCUUCCCCGUCCUCAUCUACAGCUUGCUAGGUACUGGGAGACACCUGUCCACAGGAACUUUCGCCAUACUCAGCCUCAUGACAGGCUCGGCCGUCGAGCGGCUGGUGCCGGAACCCCUCGUGGGGAAUCUGAGCGGAAUCGAGAAGGAGCAGCUGGACGCUCAACGGGUUGGGGUAGCCGCGGCCGUGGCCUUCGGGAGCGGGGCGUUGAUGCUGGGGAUGUUCGUGCUGCAGCUCGGCGUCUUGUCCACCUUUUUGUCCGAGCCUGUGGUCAAGGCGCUGACCAGCGGGGCCGCGCUGCACGUGCUCUUGUCCCAGCUGCCGAGCCUCUUGGGGUUGUCCCUCCCGCGCCAGAUCGGCUGCUUCUCUCUCUUCAAGACGCUGGCCUCCUUGCUGACUGCGCUGCCUCGGAGCAGUCCGGCCGAACUGACCAUCUCCGCGCUCAGCCUGGCGCUGCUCGUGCCGGUCAAGGAAUUGAACGUGAGAUUCCGAGACCGGCUACCCACGCCGAUCCCGGGGGAAGUCGUCUUGGUGCUUCUGGCCUCCGUGCUCUGCUUCACCUCUUCUGUGGACACAAGAUACCAAGUCCAGAUAGUGGGGCUGUUGCCUGGAGGAUUUCCCCAACCCCUCCUCCCCAACCUGGCUGAGCUGCCCAGGAUUCUGGCUGACUCGCUGCCCAUUGCACUGGUUAGUUUUGCGGUGUCUGCCUCCCUGGCCUCCAUCCAUGCAGACAAGUAUAGCUACACUAUUGACUCCAACCAGGAGUUCCUGGCACAUGGUGCCUCCAACCUCAUCUCCUCCCUCUUCUCUUGCUUUCCCAACUCGGCUACGCUGGCCACCACCAAUCUACUGGUGGAUGCUGGUGGGAAAACACAGCUGGCAGGCCUCUUCUCCUGCACAGUGGUCCUGUCGGUGCUGCUGUGGCUGGGGCCCUUCUUUUACUAUCUGCCCAAGGCUGUCCUGGCUUGCAUCAACAUCUCCAGCAUGCGCCAGGUGUUCUGCCAGAUGCAGGAACUUCCACAACUAUGGCACAUCAGCCGAGUGGACUUUCUCCUCCAGGUCCCGGGGCUCUGCAUCCUGAGCUAUCCAACACCACUGUACUUUGGGACCCGUGGGCAGUUUCGCUGCAACCUGGAGUGGCACCUGGGGCUCGGAGAAGGAGAAAAGGAGACUUCAAAGCCAGAUGGCCCAAUGGUUGCAGUUGCUGAGCCUGUCAGGGUGGUGGUCCUAGACUUCAGUGGUGUCACCUUUGCAGAUGCUGCUGGGGCCAGAGAAGUGGUGCAGGUGAGGGAGAGGCUGGCCAGCCGAUGUCGAGAUGCUAGGAUCCGCCUCCUCCUGGCUCAGUGUAAUGCCUUGGUGCAGGGGACACUGACCCGGGUAGGACUCCUGGACAGGGUGACUCCAGAUCAGCUGUUUGUGAGUGUGCAGGAUGCAGCUGCUUAUGCCCUGGGGAGCCUGUUAAGGGGCAGUAGCACCAGGAGCGGGAGCCAGGAGGCACUGGGCUGCGGCAAGUGAGGCAGGGGUAAGUGGCUGGAGACCCAGGGAGAGGGGUUUGGGAAAGGGUCUGAGGAAGAUCAAGAAGAAAAGGGUGGGGACGGAAUGAAUAGUAGAUUGAAGACCAAAUCAGGGAGCCCGGGCUGAGCUAUGGGUGAGGAACUGAAGAACUCAGAUCCCUAAGUAGGUGGGGUACCCCUGAGAGGACUGCCACAUUUCAUUAAGGAAGAGGGGUGCCUAAUCUAUUCCUGACAUGUCUCCUCUCUUCUCCAGGAGCUCACUGACCCAAAGAUUUGCACCGUGUGGGUCUGACCUCAUCAUGUGGAGUGCAGAGGGCCCUGAUGACAUGUGUGUGAUGAGGACCAUGACCCUUGAACCCCCUUACCUAACGUAACUAAUAAAAUGAA
ensembl:lncRNA novel transcript